rnacentral:rRNA from 1 species
AACGAACGCUGGCGGCAUGCCUAACACAUGCAAGUCGAACGAGACCUUCCGGUCUUUGGGCGCUCGUGUGCGUACCGCGUGGGAACCUGCCCUUAGGUUCCGAAUAACUCCCUGUAAGGGGUGCUAAUACCGGUUAAUCUCAUCGGACCUAAGAUUUAUCGCCUUUGGAUGGGCGCGCGUUGGAUUAGCGAGUUGGUAGUGUAAAAGCCUACCAACGCGACGAUCCAUAGCUGGUCUGAGAGGAUGAUCAGCCACACUGGCACUGAGACACGGCCCAGACUCCUACGGGGAGGAGCAGUGGGGAAUAUUAGACAAGGGGCGAAAGCCUGGUCCAGCAAUGCCGCGUGAGUGAUGAAGGCCGUAGGGUUGUAAAGCUCUUUUACCCGGGAUGAUAAUGACAGUACCGGGAGAAUAAGCUCCGGCUAACUCCGUG